AAGUAAAUGGGCAAUAAAGUUGCAUAUAUCAACUACUGGAAUUUGGAGUGAAAGUUGAGGUUUCAAAGCCAGUAAUAGAUUCCUACUUCGCUGGUAUGCAAUUGAAGAAGAGUUUGACAAAGCAGAUGCCAAGAGCUCUUAGCAAACUGGUGUCAAAUUACUAAAAGUAUGUUGAGUACAUUGGUCUGUGUGCUACCUAUCUCCUGUAAAUACUGUGUCAAGAAGGGCUACUAGGCCUGAAGAUACAGCUGCCGCCUGAUCCUCUUGUUGCACAGAUGAAGGACCUGGUGUUGCUGGACUUUGCUUGGUUGCAAACUUCUGUCCUCUCUUUGGUGGCAUGAUCUGAAUAAAAAUUAAAAUAAUUGAUAUAUUUUUUUCAUUUUCUGACCAUAAGAGGUUCUUAGAAACAUCUUGAUAUGUUGCGCAGCCAGUUCAUAAAAAAUCUGAAUUUUCCCAUGUGUGUCAAUAAGUAUGCAGUAUACAGAUUAAGUAUCCCAGAUAUAAUCAAUUGUAAAUUUAAUGCGAGUCAUUAUGAAAUAAUUUACACGAAGAUCAAAGUGUGUUGCUGUGAUAACCAGAGGAAAAACACUGCUUAGUAUUGAGCAUAAAUUGCAGGGUUCUACGUGUACUUGUUUCAUUGAAAAUAUCCCUACAAAAGUUGUACCUGCUGCCAGAAGUAAACCCCAUCCAGUGAUGACGUCUGGGUCCCUAAUUUGACAUUAUUGGCCACAAAUCCGACGAUGAAGCCCAAGAUUGACGACGAAGUAAUGUCCGAUUAUCACUGUCCUUAUUCCAACACCAGAACAAAUUUGACAGUGCAUUACCCUAGUGGAGAAAAAUCAGCAUUUGUUAGAGAUGAUGUCAUGAAACAAAUCUGUAGAGCAGUGUAUAGAAAUCAAAAUGUUAUUAACUGUAUUCUUGAAAUCAUAUGCAAAUCAGAUCCAACAUCUUUAGCAACAGUAGCAUCAAAACUUAUCAACAGAGAGUGUGAAGGACUGUGCAAAAGAGGAACUGGUAGUAUUCUCCAAGAUACAAGUUAUAAAGAACACCUUGAUAGCGAGAUACUGAGUUUGAAAGAGAAAUGGGCAAAUGGAGAUAAACAGAAGUAUCAGUUAAUUGGAGAUAACUGGGAUAAGAACAUUGUGCCAUCAUAUAGAACCAGUCAGUGUAAGACCUUAUCUCUGCAUUUGUUUCAUAUCAUAGCAGUUGUUGAUAGGAUUAUCCCUAUACCUAGACAUGAAGCAGGAAAAAGACUUUCUAUCAGUGUUUACAUACCAUCCCUGGAAGAACAAGACAUCUUAAUCCAGGAAUUAACUUUGCUGGUUGCAACAUCAGUUGUCCAGAAUUUAGAACAGAUCAACAAAGCCAUGGCUGACCUAUUUCCCAUGCAUUUGCAGCAUGAUCACAGCGAUAAAGUUGGCAUGAAAACUCAACAGUUUCCUUUGGGUCUUAUUGACUGCAAUGAGACAAAGAAUCAAGAGGUGAUCAAGCUGCUGAAGUUUUUGACAGAGAAAUAUGUACCCCUUGAUGGUGAUGAAGUAAUUGAUGAAGUCUUCUUUGGAGGAGACAGGUUAACAGAUGAGCGUAUUCAAGGGGUGCAACGAGCAAUGGAAAAUGCUGAAACUUCCAAGGGAAAACUACAAGGUUUUAUAUCAAAGAUUGAGGAUUGGCAUCGCAUGAUGAAUUUUCUUGAGGCUAUUUGCAAGUCAACGUUUAAGCAGGAAUCAUCAGCAGAAAGAGGAACUAUUUUGACAUUAUUUCUCAAAUUAAAAGGCUUUCGUCGUCUCCCAGAAUACAAGGCCGACGUACGCAAAGUAAUGAAGGAAUUCAAGGAUAUUGAAGCUUUGGAACUAAAGACGAGUCGAAAAUUGAACUGCAAGGGUUUGGCGAGCAAUUGGGACCUUUUUCAUGAUACCUAUCACAAUCUUCCUACCUUGAUCAGGAGACAUAAGACAUCGAUUCCAUUCAGUAGACUUAGAAAUCCGAAUUACUAAUCCCACAAUUUUUGAGAACAUACCAUUUUGUCUUUCAUAUUUUACAUUUCGUUUAAAUAUAUAUUAAAUAAUUGCAGC
rnacentral:sRNA from 1 species